rnacentral:rRNA from 1 species
UACGGAGGGUGCAAGCGUUGCUCGGAAUUACUGGGCGUAAAGCGUACGCAGGCUGUUCGUUAAGUCGGGUGUGAAAUCCCGGGGCUCAACCCCCGGAAUUGCGCCCGAAACUGACGAGCUUGAGUGCGGGAGAGGGAAGCGGAAUUCCUGGUGUAGAGGUGAAAUUCGUAGAUAUCAGGAGGAACAGCCCAGGGGAACCAGUC